rnacentral:tRNA from 1 species
GGGCCCGUGGUCUAGCUGGUUAUGACGUCGCCCUCACACGGCGAAGGUCCGGGGUUCGAAUCCCCGCGGGCCCACCA